UGAUUAUCGGUCGCCUGUAACCAGCGUCAGAAAAACGCUUGAAAAAAGAAAAAAAAUGGCUUAUAAAUAUUAGCUUCCUUUGAUGAGUUUUAUUGGGCAUAAGAACAGACCCAGCUGUUUUAUAUUAGACUUCCUCUUCAUUUUCCUUCUUUCUAGGAGAGUUCCUCUCGUUUUUAGUUACCGAUCAUCACAACUGUCUCACGACAUGUAUCAGAGGUCACCAGGGGUCAACGUUUUUGAUGGAAGUUAAUCCUGUAACCAUGAUUUAAUCUAGAUUUUAGUAAAUGAACACACGAAACAAGAUGAAAGUAAAAAAUGGCAUGUCUGUCGGCAAGUCUAUUACCCGGCGACGAAAAGCAGCUAGAAUAGUGUACAUGUAUUUGGAUGCAAUGGUAUUUACCAAUAAAGCUAAUAUUACAU
rnacentral:misc_RNA from 1 species